GAUGAAGAACGCAGCGAAAUGCGAUACGUAAUGUGAAUUGCAGAAUUCAGUGAAUCAUCGAGUCUUUGAACGCACAUUGCGCCUGCCAGCACUCUGGCAGGCAUGCCUGUUCGAGCGUCAUUUCAACCAUCAAGCCCUAGGCUUGCGUUGGAGCCCUGCGGCUGCCGCAGGCCCCUAAAAGCAGUGGCGGGCUCGCUAUCACACCGAGUGCAGUAGAUUACUCUUCGCUCAGGGCGUGUGGCGGGUUCCAGCCGUGAAACCCCCUACUUCUCAAGGUUGACCUCGGAUCAGGUAGGAAUACCCGCUGAACUUAAGCAUAUCAAUAAGCGGAGGA
rnacentral:misc_RNA from 1 species